UAUUUGAGGAGAUAAAGAUGCAGUCAACCAGGAGAUUACCAUAUUAUUGCAUCUGUCCCAUAAUUUUUGUUCAGCCAGGUUAGUAUCUGGUCUGGGACAGGUACCAUCAACAUGACCAGUUUUGUUCUUAGCGGACAAGGCAACUAUCAUCUUCCUCUUCCAACCCCCAUAACCACUACCCGAAAAGGGAAUAGGAACAAGGGAAACACCGGGAACAUCAGAAGAGUAAACAAUGAGAGGGCUUGUAGGGUCAAUAGGUGAGGGAUUGGUACGGUUCAUAUUUGUCAUCAGAAACAGAACAACAAUGAUGAGAGGAAAUUGAUUCAAUAUCAGUGAACUACAUGAACAACAAAUUUUCCAGCAGAAUAGGAACAAGUGAAACACCAGGAACAUCAGAAGAGUAAACGAAUAAAGGGCUUGUAGGGUCAAUAGGUGAGGCAUUAAUAGGAUUCAUAUUUGUCAGCAGAAACAGAACAACAGUGAUGAAGAGAAAUUUGGUUCAAUAUCUGUGAACUACACGGUACAACAGAUUUUCCAGCAAAAACACAUGCAAGGUCUUAACGAGAAUGAGAAUAGGUUACCCGACUUCUACGCUACCGGAGAAGAAUGGCCUUCAAAAAUUCAGAGAAAACCCUAGCUUUAUCCAAUGUAAAUCCAACGCUUCUGAAUCCGUCGGAAUCAACCGCGAAAGGUGUCGGAAGUUUACCCUAAACACCACGCUUGAGGAAGGAACAACAAUUCACAGAAAGGGCUAAAAAUAUCUCCGAUUUCACCAACAAAUCGGAAAAAAAAAAUCCAGAAUCACCACCGAUAAUUCAAUAAUACUGGACCGGAAGAACUAAGAACAGAGAGGAGUCAUCCGAGAAGAAGAACCACACUCUGAUACCAUAAAAACAUGAGAAUCGGAGAUGGAGAAAAGAGAGAAAAGGUUCAUCUCUCUCAGAAUCGAUAUAUGAACAAAAUGAAUUAUG
rnacentral:lncRNA from 1 species